GACGAACGCUGGCGGCGUGCCUAAUACAUGCAAGUUGAGCGCUGAAGGUUGGUACUUGUACCAACUGGAUGAGCAGCGAACGGGUGAGUAACGCGUGGGGAAUCUGCCUUUGAGCGGGGGACAACAUUUGGAAACGAAUGCUAAUACCGCAUAAAAACUUUAAACACAAGUUUUAAGUUUGAAAGAUGCAAUUGCAUCACUCAAAGAUGAUCCCGCGUUGUAUUAGCUAGUUGGUGAGGUAAAGGCUCACCAAGGCGAUGAUACAUAGCCGAACUGAGAGGGUGAUCGGCCAGAUUGGGACGGAGACACGGCCCAAACGCCUACGGGAGGCAGCAGUAGGGAAUCGUCGGCCAUGGACGAAAGACUGACCGAGCAACGCGGCGUGAGUGAAGAAGGUUUUCGGAUCGUAAAACUCUGUUGGUAGAGAAGAACGUUGGUGAGAGUGGAAAGCUCAUCAAGUGACGGUAACUACUCAGAAAGGGACGGCUAACUACGUG
rnacentral:rRNA from 1 species